AGUAACAACCUGGAAACAAGAUGCUAAUACCGGAUAACAACAGAUGAUGCCUAUCAACUGUUUAAAAGAUGGUUCUGCUAUCACUCUUGGAUGGACCUGCGGUGCAUUAGCUAGUUGGUAGGGUAACGGCCUACCAAGGCGAUGAUGCAUAGCCGAGUUGAGAGACUGAUCGGCCACAUUGGGACUGAGACACGGCCCAAACUCCUACGGGAGGCAGCAGCA
rnacentral:rRNA from 1 species